UUUCACCAUUGACAACACCCAAAGCAGUUUCUGUAUACUAUGCAAUUCAAAAGAGAGGUUCCCCACAUGGUGGAAACACACUUCCAGCAGUGAAAAUUCCUCACUGAUACUGUCGCAGUCUGCUUUGGGUACCAGUGAGACACAACACCAGAGGGGUCGAUGAAUGUAGUGCUGCCCGAGGCUCAGAUCUUGAAUAGCUAAUACUGCCUCACGAAGCUGCCUUGCUACCAUGGCAAUUGACCACGCCCAGAAGUCAUUGAUAAGGAUGUUGCAGUUGUAGCCACGGCUUGGUGAGGCCAUGGCAGGAUUGUAGCAGUUAAGCCUGGCCUGCAGCACAUGGCGAUGAGGCCUGAGUCCUAUGCCUCCAUGGCCUGCUCUCUCCCAGGUGGGCCCGGUGUGUUUGUGCAAGGAGCUACCACCAAGCGCGGGGUUGCCAUGAGUUGUGCCCUCCCCCUGCCGCCGGUCCAUAUAGCAGCCUUGGUGGCUCCAGCUCCAGGGUCUGCCUGCUGCUUCUUCACUAUAAAUAAGGUAAGAUUUUAAUAGCUAUUAAAUGAUACAAUGGGCUGGGUGGAAAUAACUAUUUGGUGAUUUGUGCCUCAUGUCAAAAACGUCAUGACCCACCGCUGGUAUGCAACUAAUGAUUGCUUCUUCCUAAGGAGUCCUAUACAGUCC